rnacentral:rRNA from 1 species
GUGGGGAAUAUUGGACAAUGGGCGCAAGCCUGAUCCAGCCAUGCCGCGUGAGUGAUGAAGGCCUUAGGGUUGUAAAGCUCUUUCAGUGGGGACGAUAAUGACGGUACCCACAGAAGAAGACCCGGCUAACUUCGUGCCAGCAGCCGCGGUAAUACGAAGGGGGCUAGCGUUGUUCGGAUUUACUGGGCGUAAAGCGCACGUAGGCGGAUCGUUAAGUCGGGGGUGAAAUCCUGGAGCUCAACUCCAGAACUGCCUUCGAUACUGGCGAUCUUGAGUCCGGAAGAGGUGAGUGGAACUCCUAGUGUAGAGGUGGAAUUCGUAGAUAUUAGGAAGAACACCAGUGGCGAAGGCGGCUCACUGGUCCGGUACUGACGCUGAGGUGCGAAAGCGUGGGGAGCAAACAGGAUUAGAUACCCGAGUAGUCC